ACCACCCCUCGGUGCUCAUUGAGGAGCUCACCACAGCUGAGCUCACCCUGGAUGCAGACUCAUCAUCUGUCCUUUGUAAAAUGAAGGCAGGAAAUUUAAGAAACCUUUGAAAGGCUGUGGAGCAUUAACUUAGAGAGUCCAGGGCACAAAGAAAAAAGAUCCUCACCCAUCUCUACUGCUGGGACAAACCUCUUAGUCCUCAUCUUAGUGUUGUGCAAAGCAGAGGAGGAGGAACAAGACGUUCUGUCAGCCUGGAAGAGGCAGGAAGACACUUCUCCUGUGCCCUGCCAGGACCUGGAUGCCAUGUCCAGGGAAAUACGUGUGUUCCCUGCACUUCCUGGCACUGGCACUGCCGGGCGCGCUGGCCUUUGCUCCCGGCCAAGGACAGCGCUGCGGGCACAGCUCCCAUCUCCCCUUAGCUGCAAAGCUGGGCAGGAAAGCAGCCCUGCACACCUCGAGGGGAGCCCAGGGCAAACACACAGCCCCACACGCCUUCAGCAGAGCAUGGCCCACCAGGCAUUGCUUGGGAAACUCACCCAAAGCCUGGGAAUGGCCCUGGGAGCGGGGUCAGCCAGGGCAGGGCACCACUGCCAGCGCGUGUGGUGCCCAGGGUGCUCCAGUGUGAAACUGGAACCCCUCAACACGGGGGCGAUCUUGCACAGGACAAAAGUAAAAACUGUCAGGGUUGGCUCUUCAGGACCCCAACAGGUCCCGUGCCGCCAAAGAAGGAGACUGGAAUGUGUCCGAUGGUGUAUUCAAGGUUGUUUAUUUUUCCUUACCUAUAACAUUCUCUCUCUGACCUGCCGAGGUCUGUCCAGAAAUGAAACCAUGGCAAUCUGCUGUGAGCCUUGGGCAGCUCCCACAUUAUAUACUCAAAACUACGUGUAGUAUGUUCACAAUUUAUUACCAAUUCCCAUCACCUGUGUCAGACUGUGAACCUCUACCUCAAACCAACAUAAAAGUGUCACUAUCAAACCAA